AAGCGGAAAUACUGACAUAAACCUGUUUUUUGGAUAGCGCCACCUCUCGGUCAGGAAUAUUCAUGCACCACUCCCUGUUUACCACCAGACGGAAGCAAAAUCUUGGAAAUAAAUGUUCAUUAUUGAAGAGACCCAAGGACGUACAAAACAGCUCACAUCAUUUGGAAACUGCCUUCAGUCUGACAGAUGGCGUGAAUCUGUCUGGAGCCCUGGCAGUGAAGAGUGCACGGGCUUCAAAGGCCCUGUGUAAUCUGCAAAAACAUCAGACGCAGGAGAAAGUGACUGUCUCCCUGACGCCUGCCCCGCUAAGAGGCCAAGCAAGGCGCUAAUGAAAGACAGAUAAAGGGAUAUGGAUACAAAAAAUUUCAGGGAGCUCUGAUGUGUCAGACAAGCCCAUCAGCUGCUGUGUUCAUCAGAGUGUCCAACUUCUUUGUUUCCUUUAUUGUACCAGAUUUUGGAACAUCUGUGCCUUGUUUAUACCAUGUUAGUGCACAACAGGUACAGUAC